GUAUACAGCCAUAUCAUCCUGAACACACCCAAUCUCGUCUCAUUUUAGAAGCUAAGCAGGGUCAGGCCUGGUUAGUACUUGGAUGGGCGACCACCUGGGAAUACCGGGUGCUGUAGGCA
rnacentral:rRNA from 1 species